AUGGGCUCGAGCUCGAUGGCUCCCGUCUCAAACGCGCCGGCCGGAGCCGCGCGUCGCCUCCCUCCUCGGAGCGCCGCCGCAGGCCACCAGCUCCACGCGCUCCUCACCAAGCAUGGCCUCCUCCACCACCCGGCCGACCUCCGCGCCGUCCUCUCCCGACUCCCUGCCUCCCCGUCGUCCCUCGCCUUCCUACUCUCCGCCCCUCCGGGCGUUCUCUCCCAGUCCCUCUUCUGCCCGUUCAUCGCCGCAUUCUCCUCCUCCCCCGUUCCUCACUUCUCGCUCGUCAUCUUCAACCACGUCUCCUCCCUCUCCAUCCCCACUCCGCUCCCCACCUUCCCCGCCCUCCUCAAAUCCUGCGCCCGGGCUUUCAAGCUGCGCUCUGGAGCCAGCGCGUCCUCCGAGGCCUUCGCCUUCAAGGGGCUGGAGUUGCACUGCCGCGUCCUAAAGCUGGGCUGCGGUGCGGAUCGCUACGUGCAGAACGCGCUCGUGUCCAUGUACGGCAAGCUCGGCCGUCUCAGGGAGGCGAGGAGGGUGUUCGACGAAAUGCCUGUUAGGAACGCCGUUUCCUGGAACGCCCUAGUGGGUGCGCACGAUGUGGCGGGUGAUUCGCAUGGUGCAGAGCGAUUGUCUCAGGAAACGCCUGACCGGAACAUUUCAUGGUGGAACGCCGAGAUCGUGCGGAAUGCGAGGGCUGGUGAUAUGGAGGAGGCAUCGCGGGUCUUCAGUGAGAUCCCUGACAGGGACGUUGUGUCAUGGAACUCCUUGAUCGGUGGCUAUGUGAAGCUCAGGAGGUACAAGAAAGCAUUGGAGAUCUUCCAAGAGAUGCAGGACAAUGGCAUCGAGCUGACCGAGCUAACACUUGUGUCUGUUCUUGGGGCAUGUGCAGAGAUUGGCGAGGUGGAGCUUGGGAAGGGUGUCCACAGUUACCUGGAUAGCAAGGGCAUUGCGGCUGAUGGUUAUGUUGGUAACGUGCUCGUUGAUAUGUAUGCGAAAUGCGGCAGAUUGGACCUUGCCAUGCAAGUCUUUGAAAGCAUGUCAACCAGGGACAUUACUUGCUGGAAUGCAAUGAUUGUUGGGUUGUCGGUUCAUGGCUACUCACACAAGGCUCUGAAGCUCUUUGAUUCGAUGAAAGUUGAGCCUGAUCAUGUCACAUUUCUUGGUGUCUUGAUUGCCUGCAGCCAUGGUGGCCUAGUGGACGAGGGGAGAUCAUAUUUUAGCAGCAUGGCUGCAGACUACAAAAUUGUGCCGGAUGUGAAGCAUUACGGGUGCAUGAUAGACAUGCUCUGCCGCUACGGUAAAGUUGCAGAAGCAUAUCAAAUGAUGGAUGAUAUGCCCGUCAAGGCAAACUCUGUGCUCUGGAAGAUGGUGUUGGCUGCAUGCCGAGUGCAUGGGCAAAUGGACCUUGCUAAAAAGGCUUUCCACAAAUUGCAUGAGCUGAUGCCCGCUGAUGAUGGGGAUGUCAUCACGAUAUCCAAUGUUUAUGCAGAAGCAAGGAGAUGGGACGACGUUGAGCAUCUGAGAACGAGGAUAACCGAACACGGUGUUCGGAAGCACGCCGCACACAGUCAAGUUGAUGUUCCGUAG
rnacentral:rRNA from 1 species